rnacentral:rRNA from 1 species
UACGUAGGGGGCAAGCGUUGUCCGGAAUCAUUGGGCGUAAAGCGCGUGUAGGCGGCCAGAAAAGUCCGCUGUGAAAACUCGAGGCUCAACUUCGAGCUGUCGGUGGAAACUUUCUGGCUAGGGUCCGGAAGAGGAGAAUGGAAUUCCUGGUGUAGCGGUGAAAUGCGCAGAUAUCAGGAAGAACACCCGUGGCGAAGGCGGUUCUCUGGGAAGGUACUGACGCUGAGACGCGAAAGCGUGGGGAGCGAACAGG